CGUACACUCCUGCGGGAGGCAGCAGUGGGGAAUAUUAGACAAUGGGCGCAAGCCUGAUCCAGCCAUGCCGCGUGAGUGAUGAAGGCCCUAGGGUUGUAAAGCUCUUUUGUGCGGGAAGAUAAUGACGGUACCGCAAGAAUAAGCCCCGGCUAACUUCGUGCCAGCAGCCGCGGUAAUACGAAGGGGGCUAGCGUUGCUCGGAAUCACUGGGCGUAAAGGGUGCGUAGGCGGGUCUUUAAGUCAGGGGUGAAAUCCUGGAGCUCAACUCCAGAACUGCCUUUGAUACUGAAGAUCUUGAGUUCGGGAGAGGUGAGUGGAACUGCGAGUGUAGAGGUGAAAUUCGUAGAUAUUCGCAAGAACACCAGUGGCGAAGGCGGCUCACUGGCCCGAUACUGACGCUGAGGCACGAAAGCGUGGGGAGCAAACAGGAUUAGAUACCCGAGUAGUCCCAU
rnacentral:rRNA from 1 species